UUAUCACUGAAAAAAUUGUUUUAUUAUUGUAAUAAAUGUGUCACAGAAAAGACAAAAUCUCAAACUAAACAAAUCUAUCAGUUUUAAACACAAAUGCCAGGUCACCUUGCACAAAUAUGACGGACACAUUGCCUCUACACUUUCCAAGUGACAUACAACAAUCUUGACCUGGGCCCCUAGCAACAUUUUGAUACCAAGCAAGUCUUGGCUUUAUACACUGCUCAUAA